rnacentral:misc_RNA from 1 species
GAUGAAGAACGUAGUAAAAUGCGAUACGUAAUGUGAAUUGCAGAAUUCAGUGAAUCAUCGAAUCUUUGAACGCAUAUUGCGCUCUCUGGUAUUCCGGAGAGCAUGCUUGUUUGAGUAUCAGUAAACACCUCAACUCCCUUUUCUUUUUUGAAAUUGGAGCUGGACUUGAGUGAUCCCAACGCUUUCUUCCAAGAAAGUGGCGGGUUGCUUGAAAUGCAGGUGCAGCUGAACUUUUCUCUGAGCUAUAAGCAUAUCUAUUUAGUCUGCCUAAAAAACAGAUUAUUACCUUUGCUGCAGCUAACAUAAAGGAGACUAGUUCUUGUGCUGACUGAUGCAGGAUUCACAGAGACAGCUUCGGCUGACUUUGUAAACUCGAUCUCAAAUCAAGUAAGACUACCCGCUGAACUUAAGCAUAUCAAAAGCGGAGGA